rnacentral:rRNA from 1 species
GACGAACGCUGGCGGCGUGCUUAACACAUGCAAGUCGAGCGAGCCUUCGGGCUAGCGGCGAACGGGUGAGUAACACGUGGGCAACCUGCCCUCAGCUCUGGGAUAAGCCCGGGAAACCGGGUCUAAUACCGGAUACGACCUUGUGAGGCAUCUCAUCGAGGUGGAAAGAUUUAUCGGCUGAGGAUGGGCCCGCGGCCUAUCAGCUUGUUGGUGGGGUCACGGCCCACCAAGGCGACGACGGGUAGCCGGCCUGAGAGGGCGACCGGCCACACUGGGA